AACAAGGUUUCCGUAGGUGUGUUUGCCUACGGUCUUGGGCCGCGACUUUGGAAAAAAAAAUAACGGUAUAGUCUGUUAGCAGGCAACAUCUCUACUGUGCUAGGAACCCUAACCGGUAACUAGCAGCUCGGAUUCGAGUUCACAGGUCAAAUAGAGGUGGCCCAUCAUUGGGUUAAGAUAUGAUCGGACUUAUUUAUAGAUAACUAAGAGAAUUGGAACCUGCGGAAGGAUCAUUAGAGAAUUUUGCCCGAAACCUGUUUACAGGUGACAGACAAACUCACCACCCUUUGUUUACAUUAUCUUUGUUGCUUUAGCAGGCCCGCUCUUGGGCCGCCGGCUUUUGCUGGUCAGCGCCUGCUAGAGGACCUAAAACUCUUAAUAAUAUUGUCUGAGUACUAUAUAAUAGUUAAAACUUUCAACAACGGAUCUCUUGGUUCUGGCAUCGAUGAAGAACGCAGCGAAAUGCGAUAAGUAAUGUGAAUUGCAGAAUUCAGUGAACCAUCGAAUCUUUGAACGCACAUUGCGCCCUCUGGUAUUCCGGGGGGCAUGCCUGUUCGAGCGUCAUUACAACCCUCAAGCUCUGCUUGGUAUUAGGGCUUGCCUGCUAGCAGGUAGCCUGUAAAAUCAGUGGCGGUGCCAUUCGGCUUCUAGCGUAGUAAUUUUUUCUCGCUUUGGAGUAUCGAUUGUAUGCCUGCCAGUAACCCCAAUUUAUCAAAGGUUGACCUCGGAUCAGGUAGGGAUACCCGCUGAACUUAAGCAUA
rnacentral:rRNA from 1 species